rnacentral:rRNA from 1 species
UACGUAGGGGGCAAGCGUUGUCCGGAAUCAUUGGGCGUAAAGCGCGUGUAGGCGGCUCGGUAAGUCCGCUCUGAAAGUCCGGGGCUCAACCCCGGGAGGCGGGCGGAUACUGUCGGGCUAGAGUCCGGAAGAGGCGAGUGGAAUUCCUGGUGUAGCGGUGAAAUGCGCAGAUAUCAGGAGGAACACCGAUGGCGAAGGCAGCUCGCUGGGACGGUACUGACGCUGAGGCGCGAAAGCGUGGGGAGCAAACAGG